UACGGAGGGUGCGAGCGUUGUCCGGAAUCACUGGGCGUAAAGGGCGCGUAGGCGGCCUGAUAAGUAGGGGGUGAAAUCCUGGAGCUCAACUCCAGAACUGCCUUCGAUACUGGAGAGCUUGAGUCCGGGAGAGGUGAGUGGAACUGCGAGUGUAGAGGUGAAAUUCGUAGAUAUUCGCAAGAACACCAGUGGCGAAGGCGGCUCACUGGCCCGGUACUGACGCUGAGGUGCGAAAGCGUGGGGAGCAAACAGG
rnacentral:rRNA from 1 species